UCGUGAUCGUGAUCGUGAUCGUGAUCGUGAUCGUGAUCGUGAUCGUGAUCGUGAUCGUGAUCGUGAUCGUGAUCGUGAUCGUGAUCGUGAUCGUGC
rnacentral:pre_miRNA from 1 species